AAUUUGCAUAAAAUUCCAUUAGAGAAUUGCCAUUCUCAUAGACAGUGUGGUCAACAACACAGUUUCUUUCUCCAGUGGUUUGACCAUUCUUCUCCUUGACAGUGGCAAGACACUGGCCUGAUAGACCAGGAGCUACUCCACCACCAGCAGCUACAAGGCCUUGGGCUUAAGGAUCCAAACAACUAAGGAAGAUGAAAGAACCUUGUUGAUGAAGUCCUCUAUCCUGGGAAGAAGAAGUUUCAAAAAUAAAAUAAAAAAUGAAGAAUGGGGUGGCGGGGGGCCAUUGCUGGGGGAGAGAACAAUCCUUGACAAAUAUCUUCUGUUAAUAAAUUCCAUUUUGCCUUUAAAA